GAUGAACGCUAGCGGGAGGCCUAACACAUGCAAGCCGAGCGGUAGAGUCUCUUCGGAGACUUGAGAGCGGCGCACGGGUGCGGAACACGUGUGCAACCUGCCUUUAUCUGGGGGAUAGCCUUUCGAAAGGAAGAUUAAUACCCCAUAAUAUACUGGAUGGCAUCAUCUGGUAUUGAAAACUCCGGUGGAUAGAGAUGGGGACGCGCAAGAUUGGAUAGUUGGUGAGGUAACGGCUCACCAAGUCAGCGAUCUUUAGGGGGCCUGAGAGGGUGAUCCCCCACACUGGUACUGAGACACGGACCAGAAUCCUACGGGAGGCAGCAGAGAGGAAGAUUGGACAAUGGGUGAGAGCCUGAUCCAGCCAUCCCGCGUGAAGGACGACGGCGCUAUGGGUGGUAAACUUCUUUUGUAUAGGGAUAAACCUAGAUACGUGUAUCUAGCUGAAGGUACUAUACGAAUAAGCACCGGCUAACUCCGUG
rnacentral:rRNA from 1 species